rnacentral:rRNA from 2 species
AUCUAUGGCCAUACCACCCUGAACAUGCCCAAUCUCGUCUGAUCUUGAAAGCUAAGCAGGGUCGGGCCUGGUUAGUACUUGGAUGGGGGAAAAAGGCAAGUUUUUGAAU